rnacentral:rRNA from 1 species
AGAGUUUGAUCCUGGCUUCAGGAUGAACGCUAGCUACAGGCUUAACACAUGCAAGUCGAGGGGAAACGACAUCGAAAGCUUGCUUUUGAUGGGCGUCGACCGGCGCACGGGUGAGUAACGCGUAUCCAACCUGCCCAUCACUUGGGGAUAACCUUGCGAAAGUAAGACUAAUACCCAAUGAUAUCUCUAGAAGACAUCUGAAGGAGAUUAAAGAUUCAUCGGUGAUGGAUGGGGAUGCGUCUGAUUAGCUUGUUGGCGGGGUAACGGCCCACCAAGGCGACGAUCAGUAGGGGUUCUGAGAGGAAGGUCCCCCACAUUGGAACUGAGACACGGUCCAAACUCCUACGGGAGGCAGCAGUGAGGAAUAUUGGUCAAUGGGCGAGAGCCUGAACCAGCCAAGUAGCGUGCAGGAUGACGGCCCUAUGGGUUGUAAACUGCUUUUAUAAGGGAAUAAAGUGAGUCUCGUGAGACUUUUUGCAUGUACCUUAUGAAUAAGGACCGGCUAAUUCCGUGCCAGCAGCCGCGGUAAUACGGAAGGUCCGGGCGUUAUCCGGAUUUAUUGGGUUUAAAGGGAGCGUAGGCCGGAGAUUAAGCGUGUUGUGAAAUGUAGAUGCUCAACAUCUGCACUGCAGCGCGAACUGGUUUCCUUGAGUACGCACAAAGUGGGCGGAAUUCGUGGUGUAGCGGUGAAAUGCUUAGAUAUCACGAAGAACUCCGAUUGCGAAGGCAGCUCACUGGAGCGCAACUGACGCUGAAGCUCGAAAGUGCGGGUAUCGAACAGGAUUAGAUACCCUGGUAGUCCGCACGGUAAACGAUGGAUGCCCGCUGUUGGUCUGAAUAGGUCAGCGGCCAAGCGAAAGCAUUAAGCAUCCCACCUGGGGAGUACGCCG